rnacentral:lncRNA from 1 species
GCGAGAUGCUGGGACACUGAGAUAGAUGGAUGGGUCUAGUUGCAUGCUUCUUAGUAUUUGUUGACCUUUUGCUAUGUUAGAAAAAAAGUAAUCGGGUAUAAUGGAACCUCGUUAACAUGUUAGGCACAAAGUAGUUACUUUUGGUUAAGAUUAGAGUAGAUGUAGACGUUCUUAUAUACUAUAUUGGGACCUUGUGAUUGCUUUUGGAUAUCAGUAGAACUAUGAUUAUGAACUGAUGACGCAGAAGCAUGCUCUUUCUGCUUAUAUUAUAAAUAUGUUGUGAAUUUAUCUUCAAUGGUUUAUUGUUUAUCGGUAC